UGGAGGAGACGAGGAGCUGCUCUGUGCCAUGAAGACGAAAGUGAAAGUGUUCUCCUGCCCCAGGCUGAGUGGAGUGCACUGCAUACAAAGGUAAACUGAUGUUCAUAUUCUACUAUGGACGGUGUGUGGUACAGACUGACAUCGACUGGAGCGGAACAUGCCACGAGGACCAUUCAGCUCUACCAUAGGGCCCCGCAAAAUCAUUGGAAGAAGUUGUUUCAGUGACCAACAUGUCAGCAAUUAGCACAUUAACAGGUCACAAGAUGUGCUGGGCUCACCCUCCAUGAAUCCCAAGAAUCCCAUCAUGCCCUAAGAGUUUAAAAGCUCCAAACCAGCUCGAACUCAACCUCACAUGACUCCAGUUCCCAUCACCAACUUGACUCCAGUCCCUUGUUGUUCAGUCCUGCUGUUUCCACCCAGCGGUUUAGUUGUGACAGUGGCUUCCAAUGAGAAUCCAGUUGGCCUUCCCUCUCUUGUAUCCCUCAUUAACGUUGGCCCCCAUGUCAGAGCCCUGGGCCGCAGAGGGGAAUGCUCUCAUGGUGUCUCUGCUGUACGGAGAGCCAGGUCUGAUCCCAGCCAUGAGGAGCCCACAGGCGGAGAGCCCUGUUUAAAAUUCCGCUCUGCAACGU